GGUGUAGUGCCGGAUGAAACGGAUUGCGAUGAUGACGCAGUGCAUAAGAGGUUUACUCUUCUUCACCU
rnacentral:tRNA from 1 species